CAGUCGCCGCGGUAAUACGUAGGGUGCGAGCGUUAAUCGGAAUUACUGGGCGUAAAGCGGGCGCAGACGGUUACUUAAGCAGGAUGUGAAAUCCCCGGGCUCAACCUGGGAAUUGCGUUCUGAACUGGGUGGCUAGAGUGUGUCAGAGGGAGGUAGAAUUCCACGUGUAGCAGUGAAAUGCGUAGAGAUGUGGAGGAAUACCGAUGGCGAAGGCAGCCUCCUGGGAUAACACUGACGUUCAUGCCCGAAAGCGUGGGUAGCAAACAGGAUUAGAGACCCGCGUAGUCCCUGUCUCUUAUAC
rnacentral:rRNA from 1 species